GAAGAUAGCCAAGUCCAAGUAAUGACAGUCACGAAUGAUGGUGGCUAUUUAGCAAGCACUCAGUGAGUCUUUGAUGUAUGCCAGAUGUCAUUUUUGGCACUGAGGAUACAGGAGUGAGCAGACACCAGCACUCCUACGGAGCAGCUUCCUGGCGGUCAUGAAGGUGUCUCAAGUAUCGGAGGUUAGAAACUGGCCGGCACUGAUGAGUUUAGAAGCCACACAGCAAUUCGGUGGAAACAGAAUAUCUCCCCAAAGGGGAUCCGACAGACACUUGUCAGAAUGCCGCACUGCAAUCCAGUGUGUCACUAAUAUAGUGACUAUAAUGCAGAUAAUGUAAGUGGGCUGAACGUCUUCUCAGUGCAGUUCUGGCCUAUUGAUUAGUAGGCUUGAGAGCAUUCUUGGCUCUUAGGACAUAAACCACAGACAGACUCAUACUCAAUAAACCAUGUGCCACUCCAUUAAAGGAUUGGCUGUUUUUAGCAUCACAAACUCAAAC
rnacentral:lncRNA from 1 species